rnacentral:lncRNA from 1 species
CCAAGAUGGCGGUGGCAGCGAUGAAACCUGCGGCGACUGGCACUUACCUGUAGUAGUGAAGGCUUCAAUAGUUGGGAGGCAGCGGUAGGGUUUGGAAGAAACGGAACAAGACUAAGAACCGGUAAUCGGAAUCUCAGCCUGAGACUUUUAGAGCACGGCACCCGCCCCCCAAGCCCUUGACGGGCGGUGGCCGUCCUGCUUAGGGCCUAGACUCUGAGAAGUGCAUCGGUUUCAGACAGCGGCGGCGCCAUGAGUCCUUAAGGGCGGCCUGAGCCCUCCGGAUCUCUGGCCCAGCCCUCGGGCCCACCAUGGAGCUGGGGUCCGACGAUUUCCUACCGCCGCCGGAGUGUCCGGUGUUCGAGCCUAGCUGGGCCGAGUUCCGAGACCCUCUAGGCUACAUCGCGAAAAUCAGACCCAUCGCCGAGAAGUCCGGCAUUUGCAAGAUCCGCCCACCCGCGGACUGGCAGCCACCCUUUGCUGUGGAAGUGGACAACUUCAGGUUUACCCCCCGAAUCCAGAGGUUGAAUGAGCUGGAGG